rnacentral:rRNA from 1 species
UAGUGGCGGACGGGUGAGUAACGCGUGGGAAUUUGCCUUUCGGUGCGGGACAACCAAGGGAAACUUUGGCUAAUACCGCAUACGCCCUACGGGGGAAAGAUUUAUCGCCGAAAGAGAAGCCCGCGUCGGAUUAGAUAGUUGGUGGGGUAAUGGCCUACCAAGUCGACGAUCGGUAGCUGGUCUGAGAGGACGAUCAGCCACACUGGGACUGAGACACGGCCCAGACUCC